CACAGCGSUYAGMMGGUCGAGWGACKCGARWCKCCGGCGACYYCGCGYYUUGCGCACYKUCCRCUCGKCGAMCCGGCGACGAACGCGUGCACUUUUCUUCUGGUAGGACGUCGCGAUCCGUUGGGCGUCAGUCUACGACGUGCGAUGAAGCCCGUCGGUCGCGUUUCGGCGCGACCAACGAACGCGCACGCUCCGGCUGACUCGCUCGACGGUAUACGAAAGGUUAGAGGCCGCUCUUGCGAGCGUUCGACUCUCGGCAAGCGCGCCAGACGCGUCGGCGAUCGGACCUAGUGCCGAUUCCGACCUCUGGUGACUGUUGGCCGUUGAUGUUCUCGAACAGACCUCUCACGACCGAUCUGCGACGCUAUAGCUUUGGGUACUUUCAGGACCCGUCUUGAAACACGGACCAAGGAGUCUAGCAUGUGCGCGAGUCAUUGGGAAUCACUAAACCUAAAGGCGCAAUGAAAGUGAAGGUCUUCCUUGCGAAGACCGAGGGAAGACGGGCGGUUCGCCGUUAAAAGCGGCCGUUCAGCAUUCCCGGGGCGUCUCGUUCUCAUCGCGAGAAGAGGCGCACCAAGAGCGUACACGCUGGGACCCGAAAGAUGGUGAACUAUG
rnacentral:rRNA from 1 species